rnacentral:rRNA from 1 species
AACGAACGCUGGCGGCAUGCCUAACACAUGCAAGUCGAACGAGACCUUCGGGUCUAGUGGCGCACGGGUGCGUAACGCGUGGGAACCUGCCCUUAGGUUCGGAAUAACUCCCCGAAAGGGGUGCUAAUACCGGAUAAUGUCUUCGGACCAAAGAUUUAUCGCCUUUGGAUGGGCCCGCGUUGGAUUAGCUAGUUGGUAGGGUAAAAGCCUACCAAGGCGACGAUCCAUAGCUGGUCUGAGAGGAUGAUCAGCCACACUGGGACUGAGACACGGCCCAGACUCGUACGGGAGGCAGCAGUGGGGAAUAUUGGACAAUGAGCGAAAGCCUGAUCCAGCAAUGCCGCGUGAGUGAUGAAGGCCUUAGGGUUGUAAAGCUCUUUUACACGGGAUGAUAAUGACAGUACCGGGAGAAUAAGCUCCGGCUAACUCCGUG